GAUAGUUUAUCAACAUCCUUUUUUUCUGUAUUGUGACAUGUUUUGAGCCUCCUUCAUUCCCUCCAGGUAAAACACACCCUAUAAAUUAUCAUCAUUCAUUGAUGCUGUGCUAUUACAGACUUGAAGUGUCCAUUUGUCUGAUUGAGUCAAACACUCCCUGUAGUUUACCACUAUCCAGUGUUCCAGUACUGGGGCAUGCCUCAUGUACUUCGUUAUCCUCUCCAGGUCUCACGAAUUCCGCU
rnacentral:sRNA from 1 species